UGUCGGCCACAGGCGACGACGGGUAGCCGGCCUGAGAGGGUGACCGGCCACACUGGGACUGAGACACGGCCCAGACUCCUACGGGAGGCAGCAGUGGGGAAUAUUGCGCAAUGGGCGAAAGCCUGAUGCAGCGACGCCGCGUGGGGGAUGAAGGCCUUCGGGUUGUAAACCUCUUUCAGCAGGGACGAAGCGAAAGUGACGGUACCUGCAAAAAAAGGACCGGCCAACUACGUGCAGCAGCCGCGGGG
rnacentral:rRNA from 1 species